rnacentral:rRNA from 1 species
AUUGAACGCUGGCGGCAGGCCUAACACAUGCAAGUCGAGCGAGCGGCGGACGGGUGAGUAAUGUCUGGGAAACUGCCUGAUGGAGGGGGAUAACUACUGGAAGCGGUAGCUAAUACCGCAUACCAUCAGAUGUGCCCAGAUGGGAUUAGCUAGUAGGUGGGGUAACGGCUCACCUAGGCGACGAUCCCUAGCUGGGCGGAGAGGAUGACCAGCCACACUGGAACGGAUGCACGGCCCAGACUCCUACGUGAGGCAGCGGUGGGGAAUAUUGCACAAUGGGCGCAAGCCUGAUGCAGCCAUGCCGCGUGUGUGAAGAAGGCCUUCGGGUUGUAAAGCACUGUCAGCGGGGAGGCGUUACCCGCAGAAGAAGCACCGGCUAACUCCGUGCCAGCCGCCGCGGUAAUAC